rnacentral:rRNA from 1 species
AAUGAACGUUGGCGGCGUGGAUUAGGCAUGCAAGUCGAAUGAAUCUCAGGUAGCAAUACCUGGGGGAAAUGGCGAAAGGGGCAGUAAUGUAUGGGUAACCUACCCGGGGGUCGUGGAUAGCCGUCCUAACGGACGGGUAAUACAUGGCGAUUCGACGAGAGGACAUCCUUUUGUCGGGAAAGAAUUUCGCCUCCGGAGGGGCUCAUAUCGUAUUAGCUAGUUGGUGAGGUAACGGCUCACCAAGGCGAAGAUGCGUAGCGGGUGUGAGAGCACGACCCGCGCCACUGGCACUGAGACACUGGCCAGACACCUACGGGUGGCUGCAGUCGAGGAUCUUCGGCAAUGAGCGCAAGCUUGACCGAGCGACGCCGCGUGGAUGAUGAAGGCCUUCGGUUGUAAAGUACCUGUCGAGGGGGAGUCGAAGCGCAAGUUGAGUGAUCCUGGA